UGUUGCCCUGGCAUCUGAAACUAAUUAGUGUUCAGAAAACCUUGUAUAGGUGCAUAUCAAGGCCUGGCUAUCUAGAAGACUCUCAUCUGUAGGCACCUGUCUAAAUCUGGCAGUUGAGCACCAGCUGGGAGUUAUGACCCAGAGAAGCAUAAAAAGGCUGGAGCGAGAUAAAAUGAUCCAUCAAGUCCUGCUUGUUUUCAGCAAUUGUAUGAAAAUCAGCUCAGAGCUUCAGUUUGUUCCAGUGGAUGCUGUCUAUCAAUGUUUGGAGAUCAGGACCUCCACAGAAAGGGAAGGCAAUGCUAAAACAAUGAAGGCUUGUAAUUUAACCUACCUUUCAGUAUAAACGAAGACAACAGCGUGGAGUAGACUUUUCAAAAUUCAAGAAUAUUUGGACCUUGUGUUCCAUUCCAAGCCUCUCUUAAACAAAUAUGCUUUCCUUUCUAAAUUGUAUUGCUGAGUGUUAGGGAAAUAAAUUGUUAGGAAAGAUUCAUUUAACGAAAUCUAGAGAUGACUUGACAAAACAAACUUAGUGAACUGUUUAAGUUCAUUUUCUAAUGGCUUAAACAGAUAUUACCUCUAAGAAGCUCUCCCCAAAUCAUGCCUUUUAAAGGCUUACCUUACGUACUUCAUGGUCUUGUAAAUGUAGCAUAUUUGGUAUGAAUAACCAUGGAGGAAAAGGUCUAACAGCAUUAACUUUUAAUGGUUUUAGUUUUAAAUUUUAAAACUACGUAUUCACCAGCCCCUUAGCUUUUUCUCUAGGCAGUCAAAAAAGAAAGGAAAAUUUUGAUGCACUUGGUUGUUGACAAUAGCUGAGAAAUGAAUAAAUCUUACAAGAAUUAAAAAACUAAAAGAAUUAAAUGAAAGUACAGAAGUGGCAGUAAAAAAUGUCUGAGCUGUAUUGUUCUUGUGACAAAACAGAAAGCAAGAUGUGUGUGAACAGGAUGUGAGCAUAGCCUGAGAUGAUGAGAUAAAAGAUUCUUACCUGGUUUUAACUGUGGAAACACAACCGUGAGCCUAAAACUUACAUCUGGAAAUAAUGCUGACUUACAAACUAGCAACCCAUUGCGUAGCUGAGGACUAAUUGAAGAGGUUUGGUAUUUUUAAAAAUCAAAUAAAUUAAAUGAUGGAAUGAAAUUUUGAAAGCACUUGCGUACUUAAAGCAACAGUUGGUGCUUAAUCUAACCAUUUACUUGUAUAAAUGAUUUAAUGCAGGCAAAUUUUUUGAUUCCCAAACCUCUUUUGCUGCUUCUUCACAACUGCAUAGCUUUUUCUGGGGUCAGUGAAUCCGUGUUAGGCAGCUGGUGAAUGUUAGGAAGUUAUUUCAAAGCCUCUUGCAUGUGCUACCUAUUUCUUGCAUAGGCUCUGUAGUUUCUGUGUACCUCUCUCCAUUGUGGUCACCCCUGGAGUCCUCAGAGAAUUACUGCCAAAGCUCCAGGCAUCCCUGUGUGGCCUGUGGGGAACUAGUCUGUCAGGCUUCUCAGUACUGCUGCAAGCAUGAAAAGAUGUUUGAGUUUUAAAAAAAAUUCCCUCCAAACAAACAGGACCCCCACCCCCAGAAGAGCUGAGGCUUCCCAGAACUGCUGUAGCAAUAAAGGAUUACUCACAAGAAGAAUAAUCACUAGCAUCACCAGACAUGAAAACAGUUAUGCUGCAGUAUGAUGUUACCCUCCUAGGAAGGGUCUAGGUGAGAUUCUCCUGCAAUGCUUUGGUAAGGAGAUUAUUGUGGGGUUUUUUUAUGGCAUGGAGUUCCUUAUCCACUCUUCUAGAGAGAAAGAAAUUUUGUCUUUGUAGAAAGACAAAAUUUAUUUUGUGUCCUUGCAAAAGCACACAUGAAUGUAGAAUGAAAGAGAAAUUUGUAAACUAACAUGGAGAUUGCAUUUGUAAUGUGAAAAAUGAAACAGGUCUUUUUUUUUGGUGUGGUAUAGAAUGAGACAAAUAGAAAAAUGCUGAUUAAUUGAAGGUAAGGAAAUUGACAGGUCGCUAAAAGAUAGAUUUUGGGAAGAGACUUUGUAUACUUUAACACUUGGCUGUGCAGAAGAAGUGUUGUUGGUGGAUUAAGUAGAAGAUGUUAGUUUUAGCUACACAGAUGAGAAAUUAUUUUUCUUUAUUCUAGCAAUGUAUAGAAAAUAAGCUGUGUUUUAGAAGACAAAACUGUCAUUUAAUCAAGUCGUGGGCAGAAGUUACUGCCUGGAUCUUGCUGUGUUUUCAGAAGAUGUAACUGCCCCUCAGCUGCUUGUCACCAUCUUUUCAGCUGGUGAUUAUCAUCAUCUCAGAUCUGUUCGUUGUGCAUGUUGUAAUUUUCUAACUUGUCUGUCAAAAUGAGUUAGGUUGAAAAGGCUUUUUUUUUUUUUUUUUUUUUUUUUUUUUUUUUUUUUUUUAAGUUAACUUGGUUCUCUUUGAAGGCAACAGAUUGUGGAACAUUUGUAAUAAGAGCCCCUCCAGCAGAUAAUCUCAAGCAGAAGGGUGAUGACAGGCGGCUGGAGGUUGUAACCUCUUCUGAGCUGGAGGAGUUCCUUGAGAUAAAUUAGUUAUUCCAAAACUUGGGUGGAAGCAAGCAUAUCUGCUGCAGGGACAGGGGUCUUGUAGACACCCCUCACCCUGCAAAAGCUACUUCUGACACUUGCACAGCCAGGAGCCACCCAUGCUGCUGAUCUGCUCCCUUCUACAGGCAUGUGACUUAGAGCAGGGUGUCAGUAUUUAGAGCCUGCUCACAUCAGAAAGACAUGCUGCAGUGGAAAGCAGGCCAGCUUGGAACAGUGAUGCUGAGCAUGAGGAUGCCUUUGUCAGCUUGCCUAAGGACCAGCCCACCUACAGGUAACAUUCUUCAACGAAAUCGGAUUGAAAUCCAGAUGCUCUCAUCCCAUAAUUGCAACAAAACAGGGAACAGCUGCUGCAGGAGCAACGGCAGAGACUGAGGGGGUCUGUCAAUGCCCUGGAGCACACUGCAGUUCUUGAAAACCUGCCUUCUCAGAAAUCCUAUUCAUAUAUGCUGGAAUGCUAACAUGAAGGUUGUCCUAAGAUGCUUUUCAGUUAAUGUGGUAAUGUGGGAGUUGCUAAAGCAUUUGUUCAUUGAGAUGCAUAAGUUGAGGACUUAUUAGUGUGGGAGGCCAUACUUCCUCUCUGCAGAGGAAGAACUCCACAGUGCUCAGCCUAGCUAAUGUAACUCAGGAUAUGAAACUUUAUAAAUAAUGAUAUCUAAAAGAGGCAAUUUAUGGUUCCUCUUGCCAAGAAUUUGCCUUACUUGUUUAUCUGGGGAUAGGAUGAGGGCCAUUUUCUAUGUUAACGUGAUAGGCCCAAUCUCUAGCAUGUCAGGCAGAUAUAUAGUCUCUUAAAUGGAUCUUCCUUUUGAAGAUGAAGAUGUAUUUGUCCUCAGUCCCAAAAUCCAAGAUGUCAUGCUCAAAAGCAGAUAAAAUAGCUAUACAUAUGGAGUCAGACACAAACUCUGAAACAAAAAAGGCAAACUGGUUAUUUUAGGAGAAAUCCAAGUAGCAGUGAUGUGAGUGCAAGGGUGGAACUGCCAUCCCAGGGACAUGAGAGAUGAGCUGGAGAAAAGGUGGAAAGUCUGUUGACCUAUUCUGGCAUGGUGUCAAUGUGCACUAUUAUAUCCAGCUGGGAAAAAUAAAAGGACCUGUAGUGGAGAUAGUUUUACUGGGUCGUGCCUUCUGUAGUGCUUAGGGUACAGGUCUAAUAUUGUAACUCCACAUUCCUGAACUUCUGUCUUUAAUCACCAAGAACAGCAUGUUCUUAUGAGGACCUUGGUCUCCCUAGUGGGACUUGGAGAACAUGCUGGCUGCUUAAUGUAGCAUUUCUUUCAUCCAGGUCACAGAAUCACUAGGUUGGAAGAGACCUUCAAGAUCAUCGAGUCCAACCCAGCCUUAACACCUCAACUAGACCAUGGCACCGAGUGCCACAUCCAGUCUUUUUUUAAACACAUCCAGGGAUGGUGACUCCACCACCUCCCUGGAUCAGUACUGCUAUUUCAGCAUCAAGCUUCUGCAAUUGUCAGUCUCAAAAAAUUGAAACUCUCAAAGCACUGAAGGGUAACGCGGUGUCUAUUGUAGCUGACUCUUGCAAUGUUUGUUUUAGAAAUGACUUAAAUACUGUGUCAGUUAAAGACUGAGUGUUAAGUUGCUGAGACUACUUACUGAGAUGCAUCUAAAAGAAAGGAUUUUUCUUUCAUACAGCUACCUUUUAGUCACUUUAUUUAGAACUUUGUAGGAAGAGUGAUUAGAAAAAAAAUCUGUAGCUCAAAAUCAGUAUUGAAUGGUACUCUGUUUACAACAGAGAAAUUUAUUUAUUGUAUGACCAUAAUGUUUUCUUCUUAAAAAAAACCCCAAACUAUAAUAAUAUUUUCUUUCUGAAAUUGUCCUUGCUGUGAUUCACAAAUCUAAACAUUUUUUAACGAAAAACCUGCAAUGGAUCAAAAAGCUACAUGAAGUAUGUCUUUGCAGAACUUAAAGAGGACUGUGCUGCAGAAAAUAUCACCACCAACCAUUAAUGUAAAUGGGUGUUCCUGAAGGUGCAAUGGAAUGUUCCUGACUAAAAGAUAUCUUUAAUCCCUUUCUGAAAUGGAAUUUUGCAAUGCAGCUGAGGGCCAACUGGUCGUAAAAGGCUUAUUAUGAGGCUGAGACAUUGUUGGGUCUGGAUACUCUUUGAAUGGCAUCUCGAUAUCAGCCUAGCCCCAUGCUGAUUUUUCUUUCUUUCUCACUCUUGGGGAAUAGCUAAAUGACACAUAUUCUUCUUCCUGCUGAUGAGGUAAAUUGUAAACAUCCCUCUAGACUCUCAAAUUCACCUGCUAGAGUGAUUUGUCUCAGCUGUGGCAAUGCAAAGUUUCUUUUCAUGCAAUUAAUGGGACAAUUAUAUCAGAAUGAUGAGAUCAUGCCUUUUGCUGAAAAGAAUAAGGAUCUUUCAUGAACAAAGAGAGCUUUAUUUACAUCUUUACAAAUAAAGCACCAUUUUAUUCAGUGAAAGUGGGUGACUGCUACAACUUGGGUAGGCACAGCAUGGUAUGAAGGUGAACUCUGUAGAGUGGUAGGUAGAGCUUUGGUGAGGCUGUCUCAGAACAAAAUAAGUGGUAUUUUGGGCUUUUUUCCCUUCUUACACUGACUAGUAGACCAGUGUACAGAGAGUUCUGGUAUUGCCUAAAUAAACCUAAGACUGUUGAAAGUAAUUUCAUUUAUUUGCUAAAUAAAUGUAGAGAACCCAUCUUGGUCUUUUCAAGACUUUUCAUGUAGGUAGAUUUUGUGCGUGUAAAUCGGAGAGCAGCGGUGGACAGUUCUGUACUCUGAGGGAACCACUGUGACUCAUAAUUUGAUCCCAAGUUAUGAGCCAUAUCUGAACAGAAAUAUGGAAAAUAUUUUCAUUCUUGAUUCUUUAGACUUACAUACUUGUACAAGAGAAACCCCAUUGACAUUGCUAAGAGAAAUACAUGAGUCUAUUUUUACAGUUCUUUCUUUAAGCUGCAGAGCAUAUUUUUUCUUUUAAAAACUCAUUCAGUGAAUACUAAUUUCAGUCUGACU